rnacentral:lncRNA from 1 species
GCUGCUGGGAUUACAGGCAUGAGCCACCGUGCCCGGCCAGAAGAGACACAUAUCUGACUCAAGUGUCAAAUCAGGCAAUCCUAUAAGUUGGUACAUUCUGCCACCCUUACCCUACUCACUAAAGUGCUCAAAGCUCUCCCUCCCAGAAGACACUGCACAGUGCCCUACAGUGUGUCCCUGGUGUUUUUUUUUUUUUUUUUUUUUGCUUUGCAAGUUCUUGCAUGCCUCCUUAGGGUGAGUUUUUUUUGUUGUUGUUGUUUGUUUGUUUUUUUUGUCUUUUAAAACAGUUCUCCCCCCUUCACAAAUAUGAGAUAAUUCAGAAGACAGGCAUUAUUUUUGUCUUUUCCCCUAAAUACAACCAUCCAAUUGGCUGACCAGGAAGAACUGGGGCUGGGGAAAGAAAAUCUUAAGAUCCCCAAAGGUUCUUUUUAUGGGAAGGGUAAACCAGGAUAUUUCUCUCAGCCUCAGGACAUUCAGCUGCUCUCCUGAGAAGCUCCAUUUCCAUACAUCAGUGUGUCCUCUGGAAGGAGAUGACCAAGGGGCUGAUAUUCACCAAACCUUCCAAAAGGUUAAAGUAGGGACUGGUGACCCCACAGACCAGAGCUCCUUCCACGCAGAAGCCCUGCACACCAAGUCGGCGUCUUUCCCUGGUGAACCUCUCCUCAUCACCUCACAAGCUGGGGAAGAUGCGGGCGCAGAGCUGCGCAAAGAGGGCUACAGGCUGGGGCCAAAGCCGCUGUGCUGAAACGGUACAGGACGCCUGGGUACCCUGCACCAGAGGAGACUGAGGGCUGAGCUGAGGGGGGCUCAGGCUCACAGACUCGGUCCCGCCACCGCCAUUUCCGGCCGACUCCGAUGAGGCCUCCCCAGUCUCCGGACGCCCUGACCCGCAAACUCAGCAUUUCUCGGCUUUGUGGGUGUCCUGGAGUCUUAGCUAUGAAUGUUCCAAUACCAGUAGGUCACAGGGCGACGGAGGAUGAGGCUGUGGCAGAAUCACCGAGACCUCCUGGAGCGGAGCACGCAGGCCAGUGAUGUACUAACCCCAAGCUCUACCUGGAGCGAAAGACAAAGGCCCCGCCAGAUACCGGGAGCCGCCCCUUCCUCUCUGGCUGUGAAUCUGAUUGGACAGUUUCCAUCCCAGCACCCUGAUUGGAUAGAGCUCCCGGCCCCGCGCCCUCGGGCCUUGAGUGACAGAAGAUGCUACCAGACAGUGCACUGAAUGAGGCAAGAGUGACAGACUCUUGGCUCCAGUCAUCUCCAGCAAGGGCUUUACCUCUGAGCUGGGCUUAGCUCUGCCUGGGGGUAAUUUUUUAAUCUUGUGUAUAAGGUUAGGUCCACUUAUAAAUUUUAUACACACACAUAUAUGUUGUUUACAAAUGGAAACACUAUAAUGGCAAUUAUUUUAAUAUUUAAUAUUUCAUAACACUUCCGGCCCCUGAUCUUCUGAGUAGGCAACCUGAGAUUUUAAAAGAAAAGCAAUCCUCUAAAACAUAAAAUGUCAGCCGUGUGUGAAUUUUAAAUAUUUUAGUAGCCACAUUAAACAUAAUAAAAAGAAACAAGUGAAAUUAUUUUUUAACCCAGUACAUCCAAAAUAUUAUUAUUUUAACCCAUUUAUGCCUGAGGUUGCAAUUUUUAAAAUUUUUGCAGUCAGACGUUGGCAAUGACCUUGAGCAGUGAGAUAUAAAUAACUCCCAUAUGCUUAGUGUUCCAAUAAUGGAACACUGGGAAUAAAUGUGUGAUCAACAUAUAAUAAUUAUUAUUAUCAUCAUCUUUUUUUUGAGACAGAGUUUUGCUCUUGUUGCCCAGGCUAGAGUGCAAUGGCGUGAUCUCAGCUCACUGCAACCUCUGCCUCCUGGGUUCAAUCACUUCUUCUGCCUCAGCCUCCCAAGUAGCUGGGAUUACAGAUGUGGGCCACCACACCCAGCUAAUUUUGUAUUUUUAGUAGAGACAGGGUUUUGCCAUGUUGGCCAGGCUGGUCUUGAACUCCUGGCCUCAGUGAUCCACCCAUCUCGGCCUCUCAAAGUGCUGGGAUUACAGGUGUGAGCAACCUCACCCAGCCCAAUAUAUAAUAAUGAUAAUAAUAAUUAUUAUUAUUAUUUUGAGAUGGAGUCUCACUCUGUCGCCCAGGCUGGAGUGCAGUGGCACAAUCUUGGCUCAUGGCAAGCUCCGCCUCCUGGGUUCACGCCAUUCUUCUCCCUCAGCCUCCCGAGUAGCUGGGACUACAGGCACCCACCACCACGCCCAACUAAUUUUUUGUAUUUUUAGUAGAGACGCAUUUCACCAUGUUGGCAGGAUGGUCUCGAUAUCCUGACCUUAUGAUCCACCCGCCUCGGCCUCCCAAAGUGCUGGGAUUACAGGCGUGAGCCACCGUGCCUAGCCCAGUAUGUAAUUAUUAAUAGAGUGAUUUUUGGUUCUAAAUUUUCUUAACUGACUCUAUUUCAUAUCUGCAGCACAUCUCAUUUUAAAUCAGCCACAUUCCAGGUACCCAGUAGCCUCAAAUGGCAAGUAGCUGGCACAUUGAAGUGCAUCUCUGAAGACUGUGACUCUCUGACCUCAAAGAGGUAAAGGACCUGAAUAUCCUUUUUCUGCUGGAAGUGAGAGAACAGCCUCUGCCUAUAAACUUCUCUGUUCAGGCCCAAGGGUGGGAGGCACAGUGCCCUUAGACAGAGCAGCAGCUGCAAGCAGGAAGUGUCCACAUGUAGACCACUGUGUCCCAGUUGCUGUUUGGAGGGGAUUUCUCUUCCAAAUAUCAGACAGUAAACAAUGGAUGAUAGGGCCUCAGAAGGAGGAAACCCCAUGUCUUCACAUCUCUUCACAGUGUUGACCUCCAAAGUUCAGAUGUGGAGGGAAUAGAUUAAAGGCUGAUAUGGUUUGGCUCUUUGUCCCAACCCAAAUCUCAUCUUGAGUUGUAAUCCCCACAUGUCGGGGAGGGGCCUUGUGGGAGGUGAUUGAGUCGUGGGGGCAGACUUCCUCUUGCUGCUCUCUGAUAGAGUUCUCAGGAGAUCUGGUUGUUUGAUAAGUCUAUAGUGCUUUCUCUCUCUUUCACUCUCUCCUGCCACCUGUUGAAG